AGGACGGGAAUAAAAGGAGCCGUCACUCGAAACACUUUUCCUUUUUGGAAAACAGACGGUGAUGGCGCGGGAAGACACCACAAAUCUGAUUUCGUCAUACCUCUUUCUCACAUUUUAACUUUCCGAUUAUGAAAAACUUUCCUCG
ensembl:ncRNA F25D1.11 ncRNA